rnacentral:rRNA from 1 species
UACAGAGGGUGGCAAGCGUUAAUCGGAAUUACUGGGCGUAAAGCGUGCGUAGACGGUAGCGUAAGUCGGGUGUGAAAGCCCCGGGCUCAACCUGGGAAUUGCAUUCGAGACUGCUCUGCUAGGGUGCGGAAGAGGGAAGCGGAAUUUCCGGGUGUAGCGGUGAAAUGCGUAGAUAUCGGAAGGAACACCAGUGGCGAAAGCGGCUUCCUGGUCCAGCACCGACGUCAGGCACGAAAGCGUGGGGAGCAAACAGG